UUGAACGCUGGCGGCAGGCUUAACACAUGCCAGUCGAGCGGUAGCACAGGGGAGCUUGCUCCCUGGGUGACGAGCGGCGGCCGGGUGAGUAAUGUCUGGGAAACUGCCUGAUGGAGGGGGAUAACUACUGGAAACGGUAGCUAAUACCGCAUAACGUCGCAAGACCCAAGAGGGGGACCUUCGGGCCUCUUGCCAUCAGAUGUGCCCAGAUGGGAUUAGCUAGUAGGUGGGGUAAUGGCUCACCUAGGCGACGAUCCCUAGCUGGUCUGAGAGGAUGACCAGCCACACUGGAACUGAGACACGGUCCAGACUCCUACGGGAGGCAGCAGUGGGGAAUAUUGCACAAUGGGCGCAAGCCUGAUGCAGCCAUGCCGCGUGUGUGAAGAAGGCCUUCGGGUUGUAAAGCACUUUCAGCGAGGAGGAAGGUGGUGAGCUUAAUACGUUCAUCAAUUGACGUUACUCGCAGAAGAAGCACCGGCUAACUCCGUG
rnacentral:rRNA from 1 species